AAUAUGCCUUUUGAAAUACCCUUGGGUGUGUUCUUUAAGAAAUAGUAUGCCUUUUUUGGGGUAGUUGGAAUAAGCAGUCUGCUAAAAUAUUUCAAAAUAGAAUAUGGACCCAUCAAAACCAUAUAUUAAAAUUCACACUUCAAAAUCUGAAAUUGACAGGUCUCUUUUACAGCACUGUAACUUCACAAAAUAGUGUAUGUGUCAUGCUCCCUGACAUUUCUGGCCAUAUACUUGCUUCCAGUCUCCACUCCAGCGGUUCCAACACUGGCUGCUGUAGCUCCGCCCUCUUUUAUGACAGGACAGAUGCGUGUGUGCUGACGUUAUGACGUCAUGGCCCGCCAAAACGUCCGGACUCGACCAUUUUGGGGGCGUGGCUACCAAUUUAAAAAGCCAACCUAUAAAAGGCUGGUCCACACCUAGGACUUUGCCUUGUUGUAGUUCUUUUCUUAGUUCCCAAUAGUGCUUUACAUCUGGUUGUUCUAUUUGGUAGUUUAACUUCUUCUAACUGACUACUCUCCAUUCUCCUAAUAUUGACUCUGCUCAUGUACCUCGAAUAUCCUAAUAUCUGGUUUCUUGAUUCGGCUUGUAGAAAUUGUUUUCCUGAUUUCUGACUUCCUGGACCUUGGCUUGUUCUUAACCAUUUUCUGUACUGGAAUAGCUCACAACAGCUUUACGAAAUACAUAUUCCAAAAACCGUGUUAUAUGUGUACAUGCCAAAAUAGAGAAAAAACGCAAUUUUACUCCAAUAUUUAGCAGAGAUUGACAAUGAAAUAAUAAAGUGUCAAAAUAACCUUGGGUAAAUAGCCUUUGAGGUCUACUUUAUAUAAAUAUAUACUUUUGUGUGGCAAUUUUGUUUUCUGUGAUGGGUAUUAAACUUCCAAUACAAACAUACCAACUUCUAAAAUUGUUUCACAUUGAAAUUUUAUUUUAGAACUUGUAGUUUGUGAACUGUAACUUUCAAAAUUAACUUAAAAUCAUACACAUAUUAUGUACUCUGUAAAUGAAGACACAUAAACUAAUUAGAUUUUGAAUUACUUUUUCUAAGCUGGACAUGUUAUGCACUCAUUAUUAUUGCCAAAACUAGUUUUGGUUGGUCCGGCUAGGUAUCCCUGGGGUUGGCCGGGCUCUCACUCUCGGGCUCCCCGUCUCUCCCUCCUCCUUGGAUGACUGCUCCUCUUCCCCUCACCGGGGUGGCUGCUGGAGGCACGAGGGUAAUGGGGCAGAGGGUUUUGCUGGGUGGGGUGCUGUGAUGUCUAGACUUUGGUGAUAUGAUUUAUUUAUACUUUUAUAAAUGUCUUGGUUUGGUUUUGCAUGUUGUAUAUUUAUGUCGUGGGUGCGUAUUUCUUUCACUUGUUAUAUUGUUACGGUAUGUCUCUUGCUGGUUGUCUUUGUGUUGGCGGUUUUUGUGUCUCAGCUGUGUGUCUUUUGCUGUUUCUAGUGACUCUCUGCAUGGUGUGUUUGACUGUUCCAUUUCCGCGUUUAGUUUUACUGUCUGGUGCACCCCUGCUCGCUAGUCUGGUGUUUGCCUAUCCGUUCCCUUAUUUGGCGUUUUCAUCGUUGUGGUUCGCUCUAUUACGCCUCUGGCGUUCUUGCUGGUGUACUCUUGUCACUGGGUCUCUGUCCCUUGUCCUGGUUCACCAGUUGGUUCUGUUCCUUUUUGUCUUAUAUGGGUUGGUCGCGUUUUUGCACUUAUUUUUUGCUAUGUUCCUAUACCCUCCUCUGUUUCCCUCCUCUAUAGUUUAUACCCGGGUUUCACUUAUCUUUGUGACACGCCUUGUCUAACUGUUGUCCUGCCGAGGAGCUCAUCCUUCCUGGCAGUGUUUGCCUUUUUUGCCCCGUGUCCACCAGUGGGGUAGGUCACUUUCCCUUAUUUCGGUCCGCAAUCUGGCCCACCCUGGAGCAUGUGUUCUCGGUCACUGUUCUACAUGGGUCCUCGAUCUGGCCCACGCACAAGCAUACGUUCUCAGUCACUAGUCUAAAUGGAUACACAAUCUGGCCCAUGCAGAGGCAUACACCCUAAGACUCCAGUCGGAUUGGGUCCACAACCCGGCCCACUCAGAGGCAUUCAUUCUCGGACACCAUUCUACAUGGGUCCACGAUCUGGUCCAUGCUGAGGUCACCGGAUAGCGGUACGAUAUUAGCGGAUAGUACUGGUUGUUAGGGAUCUAGGUGCCCACUAUGGUAGGUUUCUGGCCACUAUGCCAUAGUCUAGUGGUUCCGAGAGGCCAACACCCAUCCUCAUACUCUAAGGGCAAUCCAUUGGCCCAACGCAUAGUUAUUCGAUGGCCUCUACCUCCCCUCGGCCAAGUUAUAGAUAGAGCCUCUCACUCCACUUGGCAAUUAGCAGGGCCUGACCUGUCACUCUCAUUAGUUAAAUUCUUUGCCACUUUGCAAUAGCUAGCCUGCUGGUACGUUAUAUGGAUCAAACUAAUGGUGGCUUUAUAUAGUCGUAUGUCUCGAGUUCCCAAGUUACUGGGGAACUGUCUCUACCCAACACCUCAUCCACUUAUACAUUACAUACACCAGAACCGGUUAGGGAUUUGUCAGGCAUUUGUGACUAAUCCAAGUCAUUUUGAGGUAUGGUAGAACGAAUAUAUUUUGUAUGGUACACUUUUUUGCCCUCUUUAUUACAGGCCUACUGCCUUGUCGGUUCCAGCACACCACAACCGACUGGUGUUAACUUAAUAAUGCCCAUACCAAAAUAAAUAAAUAUAUAUAUAUAUAUAUAUAUAUAUA